UACGGGGGGAGCAAGCGUUGUUCGGAUUUACUGGGCGUAAAGGGCGCGUAGGCGGUCAGCACAAGUCAGUUGUGAAAUCUCCGGGCUUAACCCGGAAAGGUCAACUGAUACUGUGCGACUAGAGUGCGGAAGGGGCAACUGGAAUUCUCGGUGUAGCGGUGAAAUGCGUAGAUAUCGAGAGGAACACCUGCGGCGAAGGCGGGUUGCUGGGCCGACACUGACGCUGAUGCGCGAAAGCCAGCGGAGCGAACGGG
rnacentral:rRNA from 1 species